rnacentral:rRNA from 1 species
GACGAACGCUGGCGGCGUGCUUAACACAUGCAAGUCGAACGGAAAGACCCUGCUUUUGUGGGGUGCUCGAGUGGCGAACGGGUGAGUAACACGUGAGUAACCUGCCCUUGACUUUGGGAUAACUUCAGGAAACUGGGGCUAAUACCGGAUAGGAGCUCCUGCUGCAUGGUGGGGGUUGGAAAGUUUCGGCGGUUGGGGAUGGACUCGCGGCUUAUCAGCUUGUUGGUGGGGUAGUGGCUUACCAAGGCUUUGACGGGUAGCCGGCCUGAGAGGGUGACCGGCCACAAUGGGACUGAGAGACGGCCCAGACUCCUACGGGAGGCAGCAGGGGGGAAUAUUGCACAAUGGGCGGAAGCCUGAUGCAGCAACGCCGCGUGCGGGAUGACGGCCUUCGGGUUGUAAACCGCUUUCGCCUGUGACGAAGCGUGAGUGACGGUAAUGGGUAAAGAAGCACCGGCUAACUACGUG